rnacentral:rRNA from 1 species
UGGAGCAUGUGGUUUAAUUCGAAGCAACGCGCAGAACCUUACCAGCGUUUGACAUGUCCGGUUUGGUUUCCAGAGAUGGAUUCCUUCAGUUCGGCUGGCCGGAACACAGGUGCUGCAUGGCUGUCGUCAGCUCGUGUCGUGAGAUGUUGGGUUAAGUCCCGCAACGAGCGCAACCCUCAUCCCUAGUUGCCAUCAUUCAGUUGGGCACUCCAGGGAAACUGCCGGUGAUAAGCCGGAGGAAGGUGGGGAUGACGUCAAGUCCUCAUGGCCCUUACGCGCUGGGCUACACACGUGCUACAAUGGCGGUGCCAGUGGGCAGCAAACUCGCGAGAGUGAGCUAAUCUCCAAAAGCCGUCUCAGUUCGGAUUGUUCUCUGCAACUCGAGAGCAUGAAGGCGGAAUCGCUAGUAAUCGCGGAUCAGCAUGCCG